UAACAUGAGUAAUCUGGCUGUGAUGCAUCGCCCCUUUGAUUGCCAGAGUUGAUUUGGCCAAUCUGGCUGGCUAGGUGAGUGACCCCUUCCUCAUUGCUCAACUUUUCCUCGUGAAGGAGAACCAUUCUCUGAUUAAGGGUAUACAAAUAGCUGCACUUCCCUUCUAGAAUCUCUAAACAAACUCUCAAAUUGUUCAGGUUUGAGUGGUUAAUAAUGUGUUCAGCCUAGCAACAAAUGACUGGUU
ensembl:misc_RNA 7SK 7SK RNA